UACGUAGGUCCCGAGCGUUGUCCGGAUUUAUUGGGUUUAAAGGGAGCGUAGGUGGAUUGUUAAGUCAGUUGUGAAAGUUUGCGGCUCAACCGUAAAAUUGCAGUUGAAACUGGCAGUCUUGAGUACAGUAGAGGUGGGCGGAAUUCGUGGUGUAGCGGUGAAAUGCUUAGAUAUCACGAAGAACUCCGAUUGCGAAGGCAGCUCACUGGACUGCAACUGACACUGAGGCUCGAAAGUGUGGGUAUCAAACAGG
rnacentral:rRNA from 1 species